AUUGAACGCUGGCGGCAGGCCUAACACAUGCAAGUCGAACGAGUGGCGGACGGGUGAGUAAUGUCUGGGAAAAUGCCUGAUGGAGGGGGAUAACUACUGGAAACGGUAGCUAAUACCGCAUACCAUCGGAUGUGCCCAGAUGGGAUUAGCGAGUAGGUUGGGUAACGGCUCACCUAGGCGACGAUCCCUAGCUGGUCUUAGAGGAUGACAAGCCACACUUGAACUGAGACACGGUCCAGACUCCUACGGGAGUCAGCAGUGGGGAAUAUUGCACCAGUGGCGCAAGCCUGAUGCAGCCAUGCCGCGUGUAUUAAGAAGGCCUUCGGGUUGUAAAGUACUUUCAGCGGGGAGGCGUUACCCGCAGAAGAAGCACCGGCUAACUCCGUGCCAGCAGCCGCGGUAAUUC
rnacentral:rRNA from 1 species